ACACACAGAACCCCUUUACCUCCUUCGUUUAUAUGUGCACACACCCACAAACCCUAAACAUACUUUGUUUACAGCCGCUCAAACACUCCUGUACACCCCCACCGAUUCCCCUUUUCAUCUCCGAUGAUAUCACCGGCGAGCGACAAACCUCCUUCACACCCAAGACACUCUCGUUCUCUCACAUUUCCGGCGACAAGCACCGCCGACGCACGGCGGUGGGAGGUGACGGAGAGAGAGAGACGGAAACAGGUGAGAAAGGGAGGCGGAGAGAGGAAGAGCCGACAUCGAUUUGCGGCCAGAAGCAGCGGCGACAGCGAAGUGGGUUCAGCUCUGUUUUGUUUCAGAUUCUCGUUCGAUUCCGGUUCGUUCAACCCGGGUUUGAUUCGGGGCUUGGUUCGAUCCGAUCAACAGCGGUCAACAGGAAGACGGUAUGAUUCGGGGUGACCUCGGUGUUCCAUCCUCCUAACCUCAUACACUCGUCGACACUUGGAUAAUCGGAAGACUUAGCAAUUAUGUUUUAACACCGUCAUCGUAUCUACGUUUUGAACGCACAAUGGAGUCUGGUGCUGAUCGGAUCCCCACCGGAUCUCCAUGGCAACGCGUGAGUUUUGGAGUUUGCAAUCUUAUCAUAUGAAGAAUGAUUUGGUUAAGCGCAACGUGGCGCUGUGUAUAAAGGUGGUAUUUGGUUUUGAAUAGACAAAUAAUAAAAAUAAAUUACAAUUGUGCUAAUCUUUAGAAACAGAAACUUAUGCUUACAUGUUCGAUGAACAAUUACUAUUUGAUGUUUAAUUUUAUUAGAAUAAUAUAAUUUGGUCAUUAUUUCA